rnacentral:rRNA from 1 species
AUUGAACGCUGGCGGCAGGCCUAACACAUGCAAGUCGAGCGGGGUUUUCGGACCUAGCGGCGGACGGGUGAGUAAUGCGUAGGAAGCUGCCCGAUAGAGGGGGAUACCAGUUGGAAACGACUGUUAACACCGCAUAAUGUCUACGGACCAAAGUGUGGGACCUUCGGGCCACAUGCUAUCGGAUGCGCCUACGUGGGAUUAGCUAGUUGGUGAGGUAAUGGCUCACCAAGGCGACGAUCUCUAGCUGGUUUGAGAGGAUGAUCAGCCACACUGGAACUGAGACACGGUCCAGACUCCUACGGGAGGCAGCAGUGGGGAAUAUUGGACAAUGGGCGCAAGCCUGAUUCAGCCAUGCCGCGUGUGUGAAGAAGGCCUUCGGGUUGUAAAGCACUUUCAGCGAGGAGGAAGGGUGGUGUGUUAAUAGCACAUCAUUUUGACGUUACUCGCAGAAGAAGCACCGGCUAACUCUGUGCCAGCCGCCGCAGUAAGAC